rnacentral:lncRNA from 10 species
GAGAAUGUUUGCUAUCUUGGUGGAGCAGCCGCAGCCAAGCAAGUAACUUGUAAAAUGAGGAAUGCCAUCACCCCUCGAGUGUCCAUCCCACAUAACUUGGGGUUAGAGCACAAGCGUUCCCAGGAACUACUCACCUUACCAUCUUGGCCGUUUCAUUUGUCUUCCACCAGUUCUGGAAAGAGAAGGCCUAGAAGUUCAGAAAAAAAGGAAAUGACCAGUGCUUUGGUUAAGAAUGCACAUUAUACUGCAGUUCUUUGGGGAAUGAAGCCACCCUUGACUGAGGUAUUAUGCCAACUCUCACCCUGUGAAUCCACUGACUGGGGAACAUUGUUUAAGAAAAUCACAUGGCUGUGCCAACAAGCAAGGAGACACGGCACAGAAGACAGAGGCAGAAGCAGCUUUAUUGAAAAACAGAGCAUGAGUAGAACGACUUCAAAUCCCAUAUGGCACCACAGUGAGAAGUAACUUCCUCUGAGCUUCUUAGAGAAUCCAACAAUGUCCUGCUUCCUUGGGGAGCUGCAGCCAUGGGCACAUGGGAAUAGGGCUUCCACCAAGAGUCCCGUCAGUCACAGCAACAGGAGGUCUUCCUCAGACAACUUUGAUGAUAGUGGUUGUUAGCCAGAGCAAGCUAGAACCAGAAAGAAAAACUAUGAAGAUGCCACAGUGGGAGUCUGAGCACCUUGAGGCCUCCUGUUGGAAACUGGCAAACCUAACUGUGGGACACUUGGAUGCUGAGUUCUGGUAAACAUGCUGUCGGAGGCACGGUAAUUUAGUCAUUAACAUUUAAAAACGAUCUAAUUCUAUAUACAUACUCUGUUGAAGACUUCUUCCAACCACCUUGUAUUAUAAAUUUAAAAUAUGAAAUACAAACUCUUUAUGUGUCUUGACUCAGAUUACCUAGGAAGGGACAGUGACCUAUUCAUCAAUGUUUAGAAUUAGAGUAAGUUAUAGAAUAUAGUCUGAGAAAAUUACUUGGACCAAGAAAGCAAUGUCCCUGACAUUCAUCAAUCUAGAACCAGAGCUGCAGAUUAAGCUAGGUGCAAAUUUAUCAGAAAACAAUAUUUUUCCCAAAUACAUAUUGCAGCCAUAAAAUGCCCUAAAAACCCAGUUCUUAGAGGGACUAU